rnacentral:rRNA from 1 species
UACGAAGGGUGCAAACGUUGCUCGGAAUUAUUGGGCGUAAAGCGCACGUAGGCGGCAUUGCAAGUCGGAUGUGAAAUCCUUCGGCUUAACCAAGGAAGUGCAUCCGAAACUGCAGUGCUUGAGUACUUAAGAGGAUCGCGGAAUUCCCGGUGUAGAGGUGAAAUUCGUAGAUAUCGGGAGGAACACCAGUGGCGAAGGCGGCGAUCUGGGAAGAUACUGACGCUGAGGUGCGAAAGCGUGGGGAGCAAACAGG